GACGAACGCUGGCGGCGUGCUUAACACAUGCAAGUCGAACGGAAAGGCCCUGCUUUUGUGGGGUGCUCGAGUGGCGAACGGGUGAGUAACACGUGAGUAACCUGCCCUUGACUUUGGGAUAACUUCAGGAAACUGGGGCUAAUACCGGAUAGGAGCUCCUGCUGCAUGGUGGGGGUUGGAAAGUUUCGGCGGUUGGGGAUGGACUCGCGGCUUAUCAGCUUGUUGGUGGGGUAGUGGCUUACCAAGGCUUUGACGGGUAGCCGGCCUGAGAGGGUGACCGGCCACAUUGGGACUGAGAUACGGCCCAGACUCCUACGGGAGGCAGCAGUGGGGAAUAUUGCACAAUGGGCGGAAGCCCGAUGCAGCAACGCCGCGUGCGGGAUGACGGCCUUCGGGUUGUAAACCGCUUUCGCCUGCGACGAAGCGUGAGUGACGGUAAUGGGUAAAGAAGCACCGGCUAACUACGUG
rnacentral:rRNA from 1 species